rnacentral:rRNA from 1 species
UACGAAGGGGGCUAGCGUUGCUCGGAAUUACUGGGCGUAAAGGGCGCGUAGGCGGAUAUUUAAGUUAGAGGUGAAAGCCCAGGGCUCAACCCUGGAAUAGCCUUUAAUACUGGAUAUCUUGAGUUCGGGAGAGGUGAGUGGAAUGCCGAGUGUAGAGGUGAAAUUCGUAGAUAUUCGGCGGAACACCAGUGGCGAAGGCGACUCACUGGCCCGAUACUGACGCUGAGGCGCGAAAGCGUGGGGAGCAAACAGG